UGCUGUAAAGGCGGAGUCAUUCCAGCUGCUGCUCACAUACUUUUUAUGAAUAAAAAGUUAGGGUCAAUUUGACUGAAUAUGAUGAUAAACAUGGAUUUGUUUUUGAUGCUAUGAUGAAUAAAGUGUCACAAAUGAUAAAGUGGGUAUAUAAAAUUGUGUCUUCAUCUUCACAUUCUAAUCCGGCGACAUCGAGCAAAUCCAGGAUGAGGGUAGUGCUUCCAACAGCCGAUAAUCAUUGCAGACAUAAACCACACAUAACCAAGAAAAAAGGUAACAUUUUUAGGGUACAUCAGCUCAUUCGAAAGGAUUUUUUGAAGGCAUUGCUAUUUGGUUUCUUGGAUUCCAUCUCGAUUUCAAUGGUUUGGGGUUUUAUUCGGCUAUUGGUUACCAAAAAGGUCUUUAGUGAAAUCAGCUUUGGUAACUACCUAAUGUGGAUGUUGUGAAGGCUCGGUUCUAUUUCAGCAAUUGAUAUCCGGGAACAGCUACGGUCAGGCUAUGGUAUGUGUUAUGUCUUAUCACAAUUAUAGAAAGGUAAUGUCAAGUCUCACUCUAACAGGUCAAGUGGAACGGGAGUCGUCCAAAUUAUGUCUUUAAUGAAUAAACCAACUAACUCGCUUAACGUGUUGUUUUGGGUGCACUUAACAGGUUCGUGGGUGACAUGUUUAGCCCGUUUAAUUUUUAUAAACAAAUAAAAUUAUUUUUAUAACAAUUUUUAAAAGAUAAAAAGAGAACUGAAGGGUGAUGUGAUACUUCUACAUGCAAAUGAAUGAAGUUAGAAUUUCUAGGAGGGUGGUAUUGCAGUUCUUUCAGCCCCCAGACCUGGAACAGAUGGAAAUGGAAUUAAGAUUGGAGAAGAAAUGCACAGAGGAGUUAGAUGACGCACUCAUGAGGUCGAUUAAUGGUCAUGGUAGAAUGGUGGAACAUUAUGCUGAUUUGCAGGAAGAAGUAUAAUGAACUGGUGGAGAAACACCGGUUGAUUCUUGAAUGGAUAGCGGAGGUGAAACGGGUUGCGGCUAAAGCCAGAACGAAAGGUCAUGGGAAUCGGUUUUCGAAGUCGUUGGCAGCUGGUGAAGUUCUUGUUAGGUUGAGAGAAGCUGAGGAAGCAGCAACAGAUGCACAUGGGCAUCUCGGGCUCAGAAGCAUCUCUGUCAAUCUUCAUCUCUGUCAGAUUAGCUCAAUAGGCGAAGCUUACCGAAGCCCAACUCAAUAUUAAGAGCAUCGGGGAUGGAUGAGCUGAAGGUUUCAUUGUGCAGACCAUCUCAAAUAUGUGAGGGUGUCUCAAUUUGGGAAUGGUCAGGAUUGGCUUGGGAUGAGGGAGAUGAAGCAUCUAAAUGGUUCAUUAAUUAUCUUGGCAAGCCAAGUCGGUUAAUGUGUUUUAAUGAAGUAGCAGGACCCUUCACGAUGCACUACACUCCGAUGACGGUUACAAAAAGAAAUUUUCAUGGAAUGCGCGCAUCCGAAUGGCACUUGGAGUUGCAAGAGCCUUAGAAUAUCUACACGACUUUAGCGAGCCACCUAUUAUUCACAGAAACUUCAAGUCUGCAAAUGUUCUUCUCGAUGAAGAUCUUUCUGUGCAUGUCUCUGAUUUGCGGUUUAGCUCCGUUAAUAUCCCGUGGCUCAGUAAGUCAGAUAAAAGCUAUGAAGGACCUGUAUCUACUAGAUUUGAAUGUCACGCACAAGAAAUCUCUUUCCAAAUUGCUACAGUUUUUAAAACCAGGUUGAACCGCUUCUAAGCCCGGCCCAGUACGGAAUAAAAACCAGUUUUUAAAACAUUGGUUUCUACAACUCAGCUGCCGGCAACAACCCCGGUACACUGGUGAAGGCUGUCACACUUUGUUGUGGUGAUAUCAGACCAGAAGAUUGUGAGGACUUUGUGAAGAAAGAGGCGGCCGCGUGGUACAUGACUUCUAUGCAAUGACAUGAUACUGUAAACAAGAGAUCCAACGAAGAAGUGCAGGGUAGAAAGGUCACGGAACUACAUAUCAUCAUCUUGGACCCUUUAAAUGAUUUAAAUUAUUAGAAGGAUUUUAUAUUUGUUUAUUGCUUUGAAUGUUUCAUCUCCUUUUAGUGAAACAAAUGUGAAAAUUUCAAUAGACAACAUAUUUUACUGUUA